GUGAGCUUCGGCUCAUUUGGUCUUUUGAAACGGUACAGAGAAGAUUAGCAUGGCCCCUGCACUAAGGAUGACACGCAAUCUCAAAGAGAAGCUAUAAGUUUUU
rfam:Cordyceps militaris CM01 unplaced genomic scaffold CCM_S00001, whole genome shotgun sequence.